rnacentral:misc_RNA from 1 species
AAGUCGUAACAAGGUCUCCGUUGGUGAACCAGCGGAGGGAUCAUUACGAAAAGAGUAUCCGUACUCGUAAACCCUUUGUGAACGUACCUAUGUCAGUUGCUUCGGCGGGAGGCCCCUCGCGGGGGCCCCGGGGCCCGGCCGCUAAGCCGGGCUCCCGCCGGAGGAGCGCAAACCAAACUCUUGUUGUAAACCAGCGGCACAUCCGAGUUAAACCAAAAAAUAAGUUAAAACUUUCAACAACGGAUCUCUUGGUUCUG